rnacentral:piRNA from 1 species
UGCCACUCUUUGACUGUCUACAUUGUGCU